CCUACGGGAGGCAGCAGUAGGGAAUCUUUCACAAUGGACGAAAGCCUGAUGGAGCAACGCCGCGUGCAGGAUGAAGGCCUUCGGGUUGUAAACUGCUUUUAUAAGCGAGAAAUAUGAUGGUAACUUAUGAAUAAGGAUCGGCUAACUACGUGCCAGCAGCCGCGGUCAUACGUAGGAUCCGAGCAUUAUCCGGAGUGACUGGGUGUAAAGAGUUGCGUAGGUGGCAUAAUAAGUAGCUAGUGAAAUCUGGUGGCUCAACCAUUCAGACUAUUAGCUAAACUGUUAAGCUCGAGACCGUUAGGGGUAACUGGAAUUUCUAGUGUAGGAGUGAAAUCCGUAGAUAUUAGAAGGAACACCAAUAGCGUAGGCAGGUUGCUGGGACGGUUCUGACACUAAGGCACGAAAGCGUAGGGAGCAAACGGGAUUAGAUACCCCAGUAGUC
rnacentral:rRNA from 1 species